AACGAACGCUGGCGGCAGGCUUAACACAUGCAAGUCGAACGCAUCCUUCGGGGUGAGUGGCAGACGGGUGAGUAACGCGUGGGAACGUGCCCUUCAGUUCGGGAUAACCCAGGGAAACUUGGGCUAAUACCGGAUACGUGCGAGAGCAGAAAGAUUUAUCGCUGAAGGAUCGGCCCGCGUCUGAUUAGCUCGUUGGUGGGGUAAUGGCCCACCAAGGCGACGAUCAGUAGCUGGUCUGAGAGGAUGAUCAGCCACAUUGGGACUGAGACACGGUCCAAACUCCUACGGGAGGCAGCAGUGGGGAAUAUUGGACAAUGGGCGCAAGCCUGAUCCAGCCAUGCCGCGUGAGUGAUGAAGGCCUUAGGGUUGUAAAGCUCCUUCGUCCGGGACGAUAAUGACGGUACCGGAAGAAGAAGCCCCGGCUAACUUCGUGCCAGCCGCCGCCGUAA
rnacentral:rRNA from 1 species